rnacentral:rRNA from 1 species
CGGUUACUCGAAAGUAGAGUUUCGAGUCCUGGCUACAGGACAACGGCUGGCGGCGUGCUUAACACAUGCAAGUCGAACGAUGAAGCCUUAGCUUGCUAGGUGGAUUAGUGGCGAACGGGUGAGUAAUACGUGAGUAACCUACCUUUAACUCUGGGAUAAGCCUGGGAAACUGGGUCUAAUACCGGAUACGCCAAUCUCCGCAUGGGGUGUUGGUGGAAAGCGUUAUGUAGUGGUUAUAGAUGGGCUCACGGCCUAUCAGCUUGUUGGUGAGGUAACGGCUCACCAAGGCGACGACGGGUAGCCGGGCCUGAGAGGGUGACCGGCCACACUGGGACUGAGACACGGCCCAGACUCCUACGGGAGGCAGCAGUGGGGAAUAUUGCACAAUGGGCGCAAGCCUGAUGCAGCGACGCCGCGUGAGGGAUGACGGCCUUCGGGUUGUAAACCUCUGUUAGCAGGGAAGAAGAGAGAUUGACGGUACCUGCAGAGAAAGCGCCAGCUAACUACGUG